UCAGUGUGUCGCUGCUGCUCGGCUUCUGCAGUCUGCUGCGGUCUCUCCUCUAGUAAUGGCUUUUAUAUGUAUUAUCUGAGUGUUAAAUUCAUAUUUUGAGUGAGUUUGUGUUGUGGGAUGAUGAUUGAGAACGAAUAAACGCGAAUAUGGACACUUCUACCAGCAGCUAACAGACAAGCAAACUGCAAAAGAGAGGACCUGAAAGCAUGAUCCUUGGACUCCUUGGAGAAGAAUACUGUAUGCAAAACAGGAUUUUGGAUCAGCUGUGAAGAUUUUGUAUGGAGCUGUUUUGGAAAUGAAAAUCUUCUACCAUAUGAUCUUCAGAGGAACUAAUCCAGCCGAUUGCUGGCAAUUUGGAGGAGGACUGCUCUUUAUCUGCUGUGUCUGUCACGUCUGGCCAUGCAGGGCUCGCAAAAUUUCAAAAUCCCUGGUAGCCCUUCGGGCAGGUACUCUUCAGAUUUUGGUAGCCCGAAUUAAAAUAUUACUAUUUUAUUUUAUUAUUAUUAUUAUUAUUUUUAAUAUAGAAAAUCAGAUAGGAGUUUAAACGUCAAUCAAAAAUAUUUUCAAUACACAAAUAUCAACAAAUAUGAAGGAAGGAAUUUUAUUUCACUAUUUACAGGGUAUCUGCAGAAUUUUUAAAAAUAUAUUUAAGGCAAUUUAUGACCCAUUUUAAGAGCUGCACAAGUAAAAUGAACACAGUAUGAGCGGGGUUGGACAAUGUCUAUGGUAACAUACAGUUUUGAGUCAUAAAAUUACAUGAUUUACAGUUCAGAUACAGGUUUUCACAAAAACAAAAAUCUUAUACAACAGCGUUUCAGGCUAUAGGCCGUUUUUAUGAAAAGGGAUCAAUCAAGCAUAUAAAUUAUGUUAAUUUAAAACGUAUAAAUCUUAAUUGUCUUAAUUGUUUAGAUUUUUAGAAGGCACAUCAACUUCUUUCUCAUUUACAACUCUGUGUUUGCUGCGUAAAAACAUGAGUUGAUAUUUGCAUUGAUCUGACCAUAAACAGUAGGAAAGGCUAUUUGGAAAUGCAGAUUCACUCUCUGCCACGAGGUGGCGCUUUAGGAGCGCUGAAAUAUUGCGGUUUCCCCGGAAACGCUGUACACAAAGCAGCUCCGCGCUCAUAAACGCUUCUUUAUCAGGAAUUAUAGUUAAAAUGCCAACGACACAUUUCUGAGGACAGUCGGUUACCUUCAGAUACAUUCACAUAAAGACAUCCGCGCCGCGUUUUGACUUGAAACGUGCAGCGCUCAUAUUUAUUCAAUGACAUCCUUGCCUUUUGAAGUUUAAUCCUGCCAUAUCGCGCGACUCUUGUCUUUCCGUUCCCAACUGUAAGACCUCUUGAAAUUAAAAUUAAGACAUUUCUUUUACCAUUUAACGUAUUUAAAACUUUUUAUGGCCUUAAUUUUGAUACAACUCAUUUUAAGAGUUUUUAAGGACCCGCGGGAGAUCUGUAUUUAAGGAGCCCGUCGGGCAGGCAGUGAUACAUUUUGGUAGCCCGACUGGAAAACACAAUAGCCCCGGGACGUCGGGCUAGCGAUUUUGCGAGCCCUGCCAUGGACCUUUUGUUGUAUGUUUUGGUUUUACUUAUUACACUAAUAUAGCUAUUAGUUUUUAACUAACAUAUGUAGAAUUAAAAUACAUAUGUUUGUCUACAUAUAUUAGAGCUACAGUGGUGCCCAAAAUUAUUAGAA